rnacentral:rRNA from 1 species
UUCAGUGUUCGAUACCGGAGAGGGAGCCUUAGAAACGGCUACCACAUCUAAGGAAGGCAGCAGGCGCGCAAAUUACCCACUCUCAGAACGAGGAGGUAGUGAAUUUAAAUAGCGAUGAUGAACUCUUAUGAGGCUCGUCAAUCGAAAUGAGUACAAUUUAAAUCCUUUAACGAGUACCAAUUGGAGGGCAAGUCUGGUGCCAGCAGCCGCGGUAAUUCCAGCUCCAAUAGCGAAUAUUAAAUUUGUUGCAGUUAAAAAGCUCGUAGUUGGAUCCAAGGUUAGGCAUGCCUGUCUGUUCUUAGUAGCAUGACUGUGUGUGUCUGCCUUUAUUAGUUGAAUGUUCAUUAUGGUGGUCUUCAUCGACUGCUAUGAUGUGCUCAACACGUUUACCUUGAAAAAAUCAGAGCGAUCAAGGCAGGCCUUCGUGCUUGUAUGUUGUUGCAAGGAAUAAUAGAAUAGGACUUCGGUUCUAUUUUGUUGGUUUUGAGAAUUGAAGUAAUGAACAAUAGAGACAGUCGGGGGCAUUUGUAUGGUGGCGUUAGAGGUGAAAUUCUGAGAUCGUCGCCAGACAAACUACUGCGAAAGCAUUUGCCAAGGAUGUCUUCAUUAAUCAAGAACGAAAGUCAGAGGUUCGAAGACGAUCAGAUACCGUCCUAGUUCUGACCAUAAACGAUGCCGACCUACAAUCGGGGGUGGUUUAUUAUAUUGACCCUCCCGGCUGUCCUCAGGAAACUUUAAGUUGGUUCUGGGGGGAAUAUGGUCUCAAGACUGAAACUUAAAGGAAUUGACGGAAGGGCACCACCAGGAGUGGAGCCUGCGGCUUAAUUUGACACAACACGGGGAAUCUCACCCGGUCCGGACACUGGUAGGAUGGACAGAUUGAUAGCUCUUUCUUGAUUCAGUGGGUGGUGGUGCAUGGCCGUUCUUAGUUGGUGGAGUGAUUUGUCUGGUUAAUUCCGAUAACGAACGAGACUCUGUCCUGCUAAAUAGUCCAGUGGCAUCAAUCACUAUGUGAUUACAGCUGCUGUUACUUCUUAGAGGGAUUCGCGGAUUUAAACCGCAAGAAAUAGAGCAAUAACAGGUCUGUGAUGCCCUUAGAUGUCCGGGGCCGCACGCGCGCUACAUUGACAGUAGAAGCGAGUAUUUCUACCUGGUUCGAAAGAAUUGGGAAAUCUUCGAAUUACUGUCUCCACAGGGAUUGAGGUUUGCAAUUUUGCCUCAUGAACGGGGAAUUCCCAGUAGGCGCAAGUCAUCAGCUUGCGUCGAUUACGUCCCUGCCCUUUGUACACACCGCCCGUCGCUACUACCGAUUGAGUGCAUUAGUGAGGACCUCGGAUUGAGAACAUAGUGGCGCAAGUUACUUUGUUUUCGAAAAGUGGUUCAAAUUUGUGCAUUUAGAGAUAGUAAAAGUCGUAACAAGGUU